rnacentral:rRNA from 1 species
GACGAACGCUGGCGGCGUGCUUAACACAUGCAAGUCGAACGGAAAGGCCCUGCUUUUGUGGGUUGCUCGAUUGGCGAACGGGUGAGUAACACGUGAGUAACCUGCCCUUGUCUUUCGGAUAACUUCAGGAAACUGGGGCUAAUACCGGAUAUGAGCUCCUGCUGCAUGUUGGGGGUUGGAAAGUUUCGGCGGUUGGGGAUGUACUCGCGGCUUAUCAGCUUGUUGGUGGGGUAGUGGCUUACCAAGGCUUUGACGGGUAGCCGGCCUGAGAGGGUGACCGGCGACAUGGGGACUGAGAGACGGACCAGACGCGUACGGGAGGCAGCAGGGGGGAAUAUGGCACAAUGGGCGGAAGCCUGAUGCAGAAACGCCGCGUGCGGGAUGACGGGCUUCGGGUGGUAAACAGCUGUCGCCUGUGACGAAGAGUGAGUGACGGUAAUGGGUAAAGAAGCAACGGCUAACUACGUG